UGUCUGUCAGUCUCGAGCCGAGCAUCUGACGUGCUGGUUCAUUCAAGUCCAUAAAGUAUUCACAUAUUUUCUUAGAUCAAGCGCGACCCUAGAAACAGUUUCAUCCUACAAGAUUUGUUUUUUUUUUUUGUUUGUAGCCCCUCUUUUUUUUCCUGUUUGAGUUUCGCGAGUUUAUCAAGAGAAGAAAUGACAAUUUAUGGACUUUUAGUGCAAAUCAUAAUCGUUUGUAAUUAGCUGGCAGAAAGAGCAUCUACAUAGGUGCAACCCGCUGAAAUGGCACCGCCCCAAGAGCAGCCAGAGGAUGAUUUUUCCACCAAGAUACCUUCGAUAAUUGGAUUCCUAAACCUGGACUGACUGGCAGCUCGAAAUGGACCCUUCCCCCCCGAACCACCUUUUGGACAAAAGUGCUGACCCAGAGAGAGGCCAAGGCUGAAGAGAGCUGAUGAAAUGAUGAGAAUUAUAGAUAGAGUAUCACCGUUUGUCAUAGGUUUACAGUUAAGUUAGAGCCCAAAAUCGAUGAAAUAAAUCAAGAUUUCUUUUCUACAAAA